GGGCGAUUGGCUCAGUGGUAGAGCGCCCGCUUUGCAUCAUAAUCUUGAUCAUGAAUGCGGGAGGCCCAGGGUUCAAUCCCCUGAUCGUCCA
rfam:Colletotrichum sublineola strain TX430BB Scaffolds0640.1, whole genome shotgun sequence.